rnacentral:rRNA from 1 species
GAUGAACGCUGGCGGCGUGCCUAAUACAUGCAAGUCGAGCGAACAGACGAGGAGCUUGCUCCUUUGACGUUAGCGGCGGACGGGUGAGUAACACGUGGGUAACCUACCUAUAAGACUGGGAUAACUUCGGGAAACCGGAGCUAAUACCGGAUAAUAUUUCGAACCGCAUGGUUCGAUAGUGAAAGAUGGCUUUGCUAUCACUUAUAGAUGGACCUGCGCCGUAUUAGCUAGUUGGUAAGGUAACGGCUUACCAAGGCAACGAUACGUAGCCGACCUGAGAGGGUGAUCGGCCACACUGGAACUGAGACACGGUCCAGACUCCUACGGGAGGCAGCAGUAGGGAAUCUGCCGCAGUGGGCGAAAGCCUGACGGAGCAACGCCGCGUGAGUGAUGAAGGUCUUCGGAUCGUAAAACUCUGUUAUUAGGGAAGAACAAACGUGUAAGUAACUGUGCACGUCUUGACGGUACCUAAUCAGAAAGCCACGGCUAACUACGUG